UUAACUCAGAUUUGUAUGAAGUUGGAACGUUUGCCUACGUUUGCGCUAGGGGCGCUAACUGCAUACAAAUUUGACUUA
rnacentral:pre_miRNA from 1 species